AUCUAUGGCUGUCCUGAACAAGCCCAAUCCCAUCUGAUCUCUGAAGCUAAGCAGGGUUGGGCCUGGUUAGUAUUUGGAUGGGAGACCACCUAGGAAGACUAGGUGCUGUAGGCA
rnacentral:rRNA from 1 species